GGUGGUGAGCAAAGUACACAAGUAAUAGUACAGAGAUUGUACUUGGAGACUGGGAUUAUGAGUACAUCGACUCUUAGAACUGUGAGUAAACUUAUUAUCAUCUUAAUUAUCUAGAGUAGUUUUAUACAAUUGUGUGAUUUUAUGAAAAAUGGAUUUAAAUGGUAAAUUGCUAUGUUUUAGGAGAAAUUGUGAUUUUAUAAAAUGAUUUUAUAAAUUUUCUGGAAAAUCGAAUACUGGUUUUGAAAAUAGAGUAAUUGGAGACUGCCUGUUUGUGUUGUAAAUUUAUGGUUUUAAAUUGAAUGGCUUAUGACAAUAUAUGAGCAUGAAUGGCUAAACUAAUUUUGGUGUUAGAAUUAUUUAUACCGUGUAUUCAGCCUUGAGAGGCUAGGUUGCGAUAAAUUGCCAUAUCAUGUUAUUGAAUUUUAUUGAAUUGGUAGAUUAUAUAUUAAUUAUUCACUGCAGAGGGGGUUCCAUGGACCAGCCUAUUAGAGGGGCACGGUAAACUCCAUUAUAUUCUUACCUCGAACGGAGAGGCGCGUAGGGUAUCUCCUGGGGUAAAGCUUAGGGUUCACUUCACGCUAAACCACCACGUGAAGGAGAACUCAGCCAACGUCAAGGAAUGACUGUGUUUUUCAAACUAAAGAUAUGUUUUACGUGUAUACGAAAUUUUAAUAGCCUUGGCAGACUCGGUUGGAUGCCCUACGCAAGGUAUCACCGAGUAUAAGUUUUGGCACGAGCCAAAGUUUUAAGAAAUUCAUAAGCCAAGUUGAUUACUCGAUUUAUAUGGAUUGAUUUUAUUUAGUUGAAAUGAGUUGAAAGGUAAUGAAAUUACAAUAUGAUGACUUAUUUUAAUUCGUCUCCAUUUACUCGCCUUUAGAUAGUUUAGAUGGUGUCUAUUUACUCACUGGGAUUUUAUAAUCUCACCACCCUCAUUUUCUCACAUUUCAGGCUCGGGGAAUUCCAUAGUUAGCUAACUUUGAGAAGGACCUUCAUUUGGACUUGAAUCGGUAAAAGCUGUAGGUUUUCAGCGUUCAAUGCAUUUUGGUUAGAUGUGGGACCACGUGUCACUGUAAAAGUAAUUUUAUGCUUUGAUUAUUUGCUUUAUAGUAUAUAUGAAUAUAAUUAUCUUUUUCGCUAUAAGAAUUAUGUACCGAUAGCUUUAUGAAAAUUAUUUUACAAGAAAAUAGUUUAUUUUAUUGAAUAUUUUAUUAUAUUCAAAUGGUCAAAUUUUCACUUCAAAUGAACAUUUUAAAUA
rnacentral:lncRNA from 1 species